rnacentral:rRNA from 1 species
UACGUAGGGGGCGAGCGUUGUCCGGAUUUAUUGGGCGUAAAGAGCGUGUAGGCGGCCAGGUAGGUCUGCUGUGAAAACUCGAGGCUCAACCUCGAGACGUCGGCGGAAACCAUCUGGCUAGAGUCCGGAAGAGGAGAGUGGAAUUCCUGGUGUAGCGGUGAAAUGCGCAGAUAUCAGGAAGAACACCCGUGGCGAAGGCGGCUCUCUGGGACGGCACUGACGCUGAGACGCGAAAGCGUGGGGAGCGAACAGG